rnacentral:lncRNA from 1 species
GAUGGGUUGAGAAAGUUCAUCCUGUGGCUCUGACUAGAGAAGAUAGAGUCCUUAUUAACCUUUAGAUUAGAAAAAUUAAAUAUAUUUGUUUCCUAGAAUCUAGGUGAUUGCCCAAUAAAUAGGAGGAGAACAAGUUAAAGUUAAAAAAAGAAAAGCAGAUAAAUAGCAGAGCAAGAGGCAGGAUGCAUCAUGCCUCGGUCACUACAUGUUUGCAGGGUUUUGUUAAAGACAAUGGUAUGACGUUGAAACUUGGAUUGCCUUGAGUACACCCUCACAGCGCUGCUCGUGGGGCAAGCAUGCCUGGGAGAUGACCUGGGGCACCACGCCCUGCCUAUCUCAGACAAGGAACUCCAGGCAGCAGUGGCGAAGCUAAGCAGCUCCAUCCUUAAGGGGCGGAGGCCGGCUCAUAUUUGCCUAUUAGGGCCGUGGGACGCCGAGGUUCUGCUGGGUCCCUCCUGGAAAUAGAUCCUUCCCAGCCAGCACCCGAAGUCAGCAGCAGAGGGCAAAGCACCUGGGCUUUAUUUAGCUCCAAGCUCCACGAUCCUCCUGCAUAUUGUUCCUGGAAGAGGCAAAAGCCUAGGGCUUCAAGAUGCCGGGGCUUUAAGAAACCAAGGCAUGACCUCAAGUGAUUUGCCGGAGGUGGCCUCGGUGGCAGCAGUCAUUGAAGAAAGGAAGACAGCUGCCCAGCCAGUCUGACAGACCAUACACAGACAGCCCUGUUCACAGGGAGGGUGCAUCUGAGAUCAAUGGCCAAAGAAAAUGGGCUCUGAACAGUGCUUCACUGUCACAUCCAGGAUCUGGAAAGUUGUAUUUGAGUGCUGGGUUUGAUAUACGUUAACUAGAAGAUAAAACAUGCCGACUAUGGCUAGCAGACACAGUGCCCCAUCAUGCCUGAACAAAAAGAUAUUUUAUACCAGAAGUGCGGAACAGGAUUUUUUGCAGUUUUGCUAGAAUCCUUGUCACAGUGCUUAAUAAUGUUACAUCAUUUAGAUAAUAAUUUUUCUAGUUUUCAGUUUACCUAAUAGUACGUGUUCAAUUAUUUUAUGGAGCUUUUUCAAUCAGAACAACAUCGUACCUGUCUUUUCAGUGUAUUAUUCCCAAAUAAAAGUUUAACCUCUUUUCGGAA